UGUGUGUGUAUGAACUUGUGUGUGAGAACUUGUGUGAGUUUGUGUAUGCACAUGCGUGUGCAAUGUGAGCGUUUGUGUGUGAGCUUGGGUCUGAGUGUGUGUGAGCUUGUGUGUGCGCGUGUAGUUGUGAGUGUGUGAGCUUGUUUGUGCGUGUGUGUUUGUGAGUGUGUGAGCUUGUGUGUGCACGUGUAAGAGCUUUUGUGUAUGCUUGUGCAUAUGUGUGUGAGUGUGUUACACACGCUUUUGCAUAUGUGUGUGUGAGCUUGUGUGUAUGUGUGUAUGCACACGCUUGUGCGUGUGUGUGUGUGUGUGUGAACUUGUGUGAGUUUAUGUAUGCACAUGCGUGUGCAAUGUGAGCGCUUGUUUGUGAGCUUGGGUCUGAGUGUGUGUGAGCUUGUGUGUGCCGGUGUGUGUGCGUGUGUGUGUGUGUGUGUUUGUUUGUGAGAGAGCUUGUGUGUAUGCACACGUUUGUGCAUAUGCGUGUGAGUGUGUUACACACACUUUUGCGUGUGUGUGUGUGUGUGUGUGUGUGUG
ensembl:lncRNA